UGCAAGUCGAACGGUGACGCCAGAGCUUGCUCUGGUUGAUCAGUGGCGAACGGGUGAGUAACACGUGAGUAACCUGCCCUUGACUCUGGGAUAACUCCGGGAAACCGGGGCUAAUACCGGAUACGAGACGCGACCGCAUGGUCGGCGUCUGGAAAGUUUUUCGGUCAAGGAUGGACUCGCGGCCUAUCAGCUAGUUGGUGAGGUAACGGCUCACCAAGGCGUCGACGGGUAGCCGGCCUGAGAGGGCGACCGGCCACACUGGGACUGAGACACGGCCCAGACUCCUACGGGAGGCAGCAGUGGGGAAUAUUGCACAAUGGGCGAAAGCCUGAUGCAGCGACGCCGCGUGAGGGAUGAAGGCCUUCGGGUUGUAAACCUCUUUCAGUAGGGAAGAAGCGAAAGUGACGGUACCUGCAGAAGAAGCGCCGGCUAACUACGUGCCAGCAGCCGCGGUAAUACGUAGGGCGCAAGCGUUGUCCGGAAUUAUUGGGCGUAAAGAGCUCGUAGGCGGUUUGUCGCGUCUGGUGUGAAAACUCAAGGCUCAACCUUGAGCUUGCAUCGGGUACGGGCAGACUAGAGUGUGGUAGGGGUGACUGGAAUUCCUGGUGUAGCGGUGGAAUGCGCAGAUAUCAGGAGGAACACCGAUGGCGAAGGCAGGUCACUGGGCCACUACUGACGCUGAGGAGCGAAAGCAUGGGGAGCGAACAGGAUUAGAUACCCUGGUAGUCCAUGCCGUAAACGUUGGGCACUAGGUGUGGGGCUCAUUCCACGAGUUCCGCGCCGCAGCUAACGCAUUAAGUGCCCCGCCUGGGGAGUACGGCCGCAAGGCUAAAACUCAAAGGAAUUGACGGGGGCCCGCACAAGCGGCGGAGCAUGCGGAUUAAUUCGAUGCACCCGAAAAACCUUACCAAGGUUUGACUUACCCGGAAUCGGCCA
rnacentral:rRNA from 1 species